GGCAGCCGGCGCGGGGUCCGGGGCCUGACGCAGGGAGAAGUUAGGGCCGUGGGGCGCUUGCCGGCAGCUCUUCCUGGGUGCCGCCCCGGUGGGCCGCUUCUCGGAGCCGCGGCUUUGGGGAGGGGGCUGCGGCGCCCCUAGGCCUUGCGCAGACACCCAGCCCUGCCUCUGCCCUGCCGGGCGCCCCCGGCCCGCGCCCGCUCCUGGAGGCGCGCGCGGCUUCCCUCGUGUUCCGUGUGGCGUUGGUCUGUGAGACACGGCCGCUCUUCCUCAGAGCCCGACAGCCUCUCCCGCUGGCCCAUUCUGAUUGGUCUGGGGGUUUUUUUGGUAAUUUUUAGAUUUUUAAAAAUUACUUACUUGAGAGGCAGAGUUACAGACAGGGAGAGACAGAGGGGUCUUCCACCCGCUGGUUCUCUCCCCAGAUGACGUCAAGAGCCAGAGCUGCGCCGAUCCGGAGCCAGGAGCUUCUUCCAGGUCUCCCCUGUGGGUGCAGGGUCCCAAGCACUUGGGCCAUCUUCUACUGCUUUCCCAGGCCAUAGCAGAGAGCUGGUUCGGAAGAGGCGCAGCUGGGGCAUGAACCGGUGCCCAUCUGAGUUGCUGGCUUAGCCUACUAUGGCACGGUUCCGGCACCCCUAAUUGGUCUUAAUGGGCCGCGCUCUUGCCUGGUCACUAAAGAGACGGCAUCCUGCUGCAGCCUUGGGGCCGGUGACUGCCCCUCUCGGCAGAGCUUUCUUGACCCACUUUGCCGGAAAGUGGAGUGUGUCCCUGGUGUCCUGCUUGCCUGUCGUCUCCUACAGGCGCUGUGUGUGUCAGGGUCCCUCAGGGCCACAGGCCUCUUCUCUCCCCAGCCCCCAUCUCAACUCUGCUGCAUCCGUGGCUGUGGCUCACAGAUGCACGUUUCCUGUUGCAAAAUAGGAACCACCACGGGUCCACUCUGCCUUCUCCCAGGUACUUGAGGCAGGAGUUCGAACCCCAGUCGCUUCCCAGCUGCUGCCACCCUCCAGUGCACUUCAGCUGCUUCGCCUUCCUCCAGGGGCACCCGCCAGGGGAUUGUCACCAGCUCCAGAGCUCCAGCUGUUCCAAGAGCCACAGCCCCCAGAGUUGUCCCUAGCCACGUCUGCUGUUCCUGGCCCUGUGUCUACCGCGGAGCCGAGUCAGCCCCAGCCCUACGGUCAGGAAAGCCGGGAGGAGCACACGUCGUGUGUGUCCUGAGACAAAUCCUAGCAGCCACGAGAGGGUGUACGAACCUGCCUUUUCUGACCGACUGCAGCCUUUGAGGGGGUGGGACGUGCGCCAGGUCCCCAGCAAGGAUGACAUCUCAGAUCUGCACUCUGCCAUGGUGUGUAAAAAGCUUGCAGUCUCUCACCGCAGUGCUGACAAGUCUUAAAAGAGUGCUGGACACAGAAAG